AGAGCAGAAAAGACCUCCUGCUGUGCUGCAUUCAAUAUCUACAGCAGACCUCAGAUAGUGUCUGUAAGAUGUUCCCUCUGCGUCACGCUGGAGUCUGGCCUUUGUUUCUCUUCAUCCUGAAAGGUGUCAGCUGUGAUGAACUGACUCCAGACCAGACUACAGAGUUCAGUGUAGAAGGCAGCUCUGUUACUCUGUCCUACAAGUUCUCCAGGACAAUAACUGGUACUGAUUAUUUCUUCUGGUAUCGACAUAAUCCAGGAAAAGCUCCAGAGUUCCUCCUCUCACACUCUGCUUCAGGACAAAUACUAGCUGCUCCAACCUCUGGACUGAAGAUCCAAGUGGAGCAGAACCAAAUCCACAUGAUCAUCUCCUCUGCUGCAGUGACAGACUCUGCUGUGUACUACUGUGCUGUGAAGCCCACAGUGACAGGAAACUACACAACCCUGUACAAAAACCUGUGGAGCAAACACACAACUCCUCAUCCUCCUUUAGAGGGAGUCACUCACUGUUAA